AGUGAACGCUGGCGGUAGGCCUAACACAUGCAAGUCGAACGGCAGCACAGAGGAGCUUGCUCCUUGGGUGGCGAGUGGCGGACGGGUGAGGAAUACGUCGGAAUCUACUCUGUCGUGGGGGAUAACGUAGGGAAACUUACGCUAAUACCGCAUACGACCUACGGGUGAAAGCAGGGGAUCUUCGGACCUCGCGCGAUUGAAUGAGCCGAUGUCGGAUUAGCUAGUUGGCGGGGUAAAGGCCCACCAAGGCGACGAUCCGUAGCUGGUCUGAGAGGAUGAUCAGUCGCACUGGAACUGAGACACGGUCCAGACUCCUACGGGAGGCAGCAGUGGGGAAUAUUGGACAAUGGGCGCAGGCCUGAUCCAGCCAUACCGCGUGGGUGAAGAAGGCCUUCGGGUUGUAAAGCCCUUUUGUUGGGAAAGAAAUCCAUCUGGUUAAUACCCGGGUGGGAUGACGGUACCCAAAGAAUAAGCACCGGCUAACUUCGUGCCAGCAGCCGCCGUAA
rnacentral:rRNA from 1 species